rnacentral:rRNA from 1 species
CCUACGUGGGGCAGCAGUGAGGAAUAUUGGUCAAUGGGCGCGAGCCUGAACCAGCCAAGUAGCGUGAAGGAUGACUGCCCUACGGGUUGUAAACUUCUUUUAUAAAGGAAUAAAGUGAGGCACGUGUGCCUUUUUGUAUGUACUUUAUGAAUAAGGAUCGGCUCACUCCGUGCCAGCAGCCGCGGUAAUACGGAGGAUCCGAGCGUUAUCCGGAUUUAUUGGGUUUAAAGGGAGCGUAGAUGGGUUGUUAAGUCAGUUGUGAAAGUUUGGGGCUCAACCGUAAAAUUGCAUUUGAUACUGGCAGUCUUGAGUACAGUUGAGGUAGGCGGAAUUCGGGGUGUAGCGGUGAAAUGCUUAGAUAUCACGAAGAACUCCGAUUGCGAAGGCAGCUUACUAGACUGCCACUGACAUUGAUGCUCGAAAGUGUGGGUAUCAAACAGGAUUAGAUACCCCAGUAGUC